GAUGAACGCUGGCGGCGUGCCUAAUACAUGCAAGUCGAGCGAACAGACGAGGAGCUUGCUCCUCUGACGUUAGCGGCGGACGGGUGAGUAACACGUGGAUAACCUACCUAUAAGACUGGGAUAACUUCGGGAAACCGGAGCUAAUACCGGAUAAUAUAUUGAACCGCAUGGUUCAAUAGUGAAAGACGGUUUUGCAGUCACUUAUAGAUGGAUCCGCGCCGCAUUAGCUAGUUGGUAAGGUAACGGCUUACCAAGGCAACGAUGCUUAGCCGACCUGAGAGGGGGAUCGGCCACACUGGAACUGAGACACGGUCCAGACUCCUACGGGAGGCAGCAGAAGGGAAUCUUCCGCAAUGGGCGAAAUCCUGACGGAGCAACGCCGCGGGAGUGAUGAAGGUCUUCGGAUCGUAAAACUCUGUUAUUAGGGAAGAACAAAUGUGUAAGUAACUAUGCACGUCUUGACGGUACCUAAUCAGAAAGCCACGGCUAACUACGUG
rnacentral:rRNA from 1 species